GUUGCCUCGCUUGCCUGCUCAGCGGCGCUCUCCUCCCACUUUGAGGGGACUGACAGACACAGCCGCUGGUUUCGCGGACGUGUUUCUCCCGUGGUGCCUCGUGCCAUGCUGGCAGGGCGGGCCGACAUCACAGCUACAUUCGUCGUCACAGCAGCAUCCCCCGCCCCGGUCGGGCAUCCUGGCCUCGCCCAUCGAACAUCGUUUUGCGGCUCUUGCGUGCUCGCACGCUUCACUACAGUCUCUUUUGGCUUCCGCACACCGCACUGUGUAAUGCGGCGCCUCUUCCUGCUGCUGGCAUGGCAGCCAUCCUUUGUCAAGCAUCUCUCGGAACUGGAGCCGGCGCCGCAGAGAGCGCCCGUAGAGAAGCGACGUAGACAACAUAUCCCGCUCUCUCUGCAGGCACGCGAGGAGCUGUCCCGCAAGUCGAAUGAGCUGCAGUACCAUGUCGUCACGCAGGACUGGUUCGGCCAGCGCGUGGAUGACUUCGUUAUGCAGCACCACCCGGAGUGGGACUACGAGACGGUGAAGCGGCUGGUGCAGCAGGGGCACAUCUACCGCUACCGGAAAAACGGAAAGAAGCGAUACACGCGGCUGACGGAUCGUCUGGAGUUCGAUGAGCUUGUCGUCGUGCCGACAGCGAGCUUCUGGGAACGCCAGCUGGCGCCGCCGAGCGGGGUGGAGCUGCAGAGCUCCUCGACGUCGCAGCAGCAGGAGCGGCGGCAGAAGUUUCACCUCUCCGCCAAGACGCGCGAGAUGGCGCAGGAGAUGGUGCUCUUCAAGAACGAGCACGUCAUCGUGAUCAACAAGCCGAGCGGCGUGCCGAUCAUGCCGACGCACGACCCUCUUGCCAUGAACAUCACAGACCUCCUUCCGGCGUGGCGGUACACUAAUACGCAAAAACCGGUCAUAUGCCACAACCUUGACACCGAGACGAGCGGGUGCGUGGUGCUGGCGCGCAGUGCGAACGCGCACCGCAUGCUGGGCCGCAUGUUUGUGAAGCGUGUAGUGCCGAACAGCGUGUACUGGGGUUUCGCGGUAGGGAAGCCGCCAGUGAAUUUCGGCCGCAUUCGCAUGCACUUCGAGAUUCAGAAGGGGCAGGGCGGCGAUGUCAUUGUUGCUCGCCCCACCCCCACCGCAGACUCCAAGGUAGGCAUCGCCGAGUUCGUUGUGAAUGCCUCCGCGCUGGAGUUCGGCAGCUUCAUCUCCUUUUACCCACUGACGACGCGGCGGCAUCAGGAGCGCAUUAUGGCCGCCCACGCGCUGCGAGCCCCGCUCCUUGGCGACGCGAAGUAUGGUGGCGAGAGCGCCUUCCCGCACUCCCUGUCGCUCUUCUGGGACCCCGCCCGCAAAGACGUCCCACUGCACCUCCAUCACCGCAAGAUUCAGCUCCCCUACAAGAACGGCGCCGGUGAGUUUGUGUGCGUCACGGCGCCGCUGCCGCCGCACAUGGAGAAGACGUUCAAGCGGUUGGGGUGGCCAGUCGACGCUGAUGACCCACUUAUCCCUGGUUGACAAGAAAGAGAGACAUGGGGUGGGGGAGGGCGCAGAGGACGUGGGCAGAGAUGUGCGUGUGCGUGUGUGUCGUGAUCGCGUGCGCUGUGUGGGUGUUUCGCUGCUGCCCUCGACGCCCUCCACCCCUCUUCCAUUACUCGUACUCACGCCGCGGGUCUCUGGCGUUUGUGUUUGCUUUGGCCGGGACAUGUUCGCAGCUGACGCGCACAUGUACGCGAGCGGCCAUCAUCACCCCUUUUCCCCCUCACUGCGUUGUGCCUCGCACUCUCUCACAUGUAUCAACGCCUACGUAAGCACGGAAGGGGGAAGGGGGGGGGCGAUACCACACGCACACAUAUAUAUAUAUAUAUAUAUAUAACGAAUCAACGCGAAGCGGUGCCACGGAGAGGAGGCCGCCACUUCCAUCGGUGCACGCGGCGGCGCUGCGUGACACAGAGUCGUGUAUGCAUAAGG
rnacentral:misc_RNA from 1 species